rnacentral:lncRNA from 1 species
CCGGCACAGAGCGCUCUGCUGUUCAGGACGCAGGUGCCCUGGGAGGGAGCGAAGAGCAGCUUCCGAGAGCCGCGCCCAGGCGCCCACUCCUUCACUCCUGGGGCGGACGUGCGGAAGGUGAUGAGGCCGUAGAAGCAGGCGGGCUGCCCCGUCUGCCCGCCCCGUUACAGCGGCAGCUUUCAGAGGCAGGGGGGCUGUGGCAGCAGCAGGCAGAAGGAGGCAGGCCCGGGCUCUGCCUUAUUACCAACAGAUGCUUGUGACAGAUCUAUGUGUAGCCUCUCCACGCGCUGUCCUGCAUUUCCAAGAGAUGGUGUCCAGGAGGAGGUAUCUGUCAAGUAGAAGACAAAAGGGCUAUUGGCCAGGGGGCUGGACACUGAGGAGAAGAGCCCACGUCUGGGGUCUGGACGCCGCAGGGGCAGCACCAGGUGCCCAGCGGGUUAAGAACGCCUGGCCCCGCUCCCACCUUCCCUUCCCCUCUGUCUCUCUCGUGUUAGAGAAGGGGUCAAAUGAGAACAAACAAUUUAAACCUCCUUCUCUCCAGAUUUCCCUUAACAAUAAACUUGUUUUAUAUGAAAUAUAGAGGCAAGAAUAGAGAAAAAUAUAAUAAUCCAG